AUGUUUUGAGAUAUUGUACGUCAUUACCAAAUAGGCUAUAAUUUCAUCAAAUAAUUAUUUAGGAUACAUUGUAUGCUUGCUGUUCAACUUCAUGCUAGAAUCCCUGCUAUUUAUGACCAAAUACUGUAAAAAUGUAAUUCCCACCACAUAAUGAACUGUGAUGGUAAGGACAAUAUGGUGGUAAUGACAAUGUAUUAGUCAUCUCUCCAAAGUUGUCUCCCACCUUCAUGGGUUGAAUCCAUCUGCCACUGUCUCCCAUGUUGUAAGUGAUGGACCAACCACACAGUACAGAUCCAAGAAUAAUUUAUUUCACAAUUCCAUUUCAACUGGGAUUUCAGAAGAUCACAUGGGAUUUUUUGUAGGCUGGACAUGGGAAAGGUCCUGCGGAUGAAAUCGGUCCAGCUGUGAAGAGAAGUUGAUUCCAUGGUGGCAAGAGGAAAGGCCCUUCAGAAUGGAAGGGUUCUACGAGGAACUUUCCAACGAGCAGUCAAAUGUGGAGCUCUUUUACAUCACAGAGCAAGAGAUUGAGAAAAUUGAUCUCCUACUUCCAGAUCGUAUUGAGACGAUCCGUGGAACAAUGAAAAUACAUCAGAUCAUCACUGCCAUUCCAGGUCAAAUCACAUGGAGAAUUCUAAGUUGUUGGUGCUCAACUCCACAUCUGUGAUUGUUUUGGCCCACAGACCGUGAUAAUUCAACAGAGGCAGUCAAAGCACAAUCUUCACUUCAACCUGCACAGCACCAUAACUAUUUCCAAGUGCAAAACUGCCCAUUGCAGACAUACAUGAGAGACUGAUUGGAAAGUGGUGUGUUGUGAAAUAUCAUGAAGACCCUUACCUUGGUAUUAUACAAGAUGUUGAUGCAGAGAGCAGUGCUCUAGUCAAGACGAUGAGUCGUGUGAGAGCAAACGGAUUAUUUUGGCCAACGAGAGAGGAAAUUGUAUGGUACCAACCAGAGAAUGUGCUUGGGCUUGUCCCUGAACCUCAUCCAUUGACAAAAUGGCAUAUGAUGCCUGCUGGUGCAGUCUGGGAGGAAAUUUGCUCUCUCGUUAAGUAAUAGAGAGCAUAAUCUUGAGUGAGCACAUACCUGUCUCAUGAGUCUGAAUCAAUAGACUGCAGCCAGUGAACAACAAUUUGUUUAAUGUCGACUAGUGUUUAGAACCUUGUAGCUGUAUUUCUGCCUAAUGCUUUGAAUCCAACAAUUGUUCUAAAAUAUGCUUUAAGUUCUUGAGGCAUGUAACCUUUUGUUUUUUGAGGUUUUGAAUGGUGUGUUCUAUAUCUUCAAUAAAAUGAAACAUGUACAACUGUGACAUUCAAAAUG